CUAAAGGGGUAUCGGCAAUCCAAUCCUUCGACUCUUCCUUUUGCAUAAACUUGGAUCCAACUUCAUCGUGCGGGACUGUAUCGAAGGAGAAUCCAACUGAGGAAGGAAGAAACAAAUGUGCUAUUAAAAUUCUCCCCAUGUAAACCGAUUACUUAAACAAGUGCGUCUAUAACCAGUGCUGAAUAUCCAAAAACUUGGGAAUGGAGUGGUUGGUAAAGGGCAAGUUUGAAAGAGCAAUUGUGCAUGAGAUCAUUUACAUUCAUGCACUGUGUAACGACGAGAGUAUUCGCUGAAAGAAAUAGAAAAUUCGGCGAACGAUGCGGUAAACGCAGAAACGUGGGGAAUGACAAGGAAGAGGGGUAUGUGCAAAAGAUGAAGGUGAGCGAUUCGAUGAUGGAAUUAGCGGGAACCUUCUAGUAAGGCAAGGCAAGGAAGAGAGAGAAGGGAAGCAAGCCAGAUCACAAGAGGAACAAACCGUGGAAAUAUAAAAAAUUUAGAUCUCAAAAAGCAGAAAUUGGCAUAUCUUUUUGCGCCCUUUUCUUCCAAACACGGCUAAAAAAAAGCGAAUGAAUGGGAUAUUUUGCUAGGAAAAUCCCAAAUUAGCUAUCGCCAAACGUCAGUGCCAAAAGUGAACAGUUUUGAAAAUAACGAAAUGUACUGUGGUACGCAAUUCGCCUUUGAAACAAAGGAAGGAAGGAAAGUGGGUCCGAGUGGGGGCCCGGAUGGCGAUGGGGUGAUGAAUGAUAGGGAUGGGAUGGGAAAGAACAGUCGGAAGCAAAAAAAAAAAGAAAAAAGAACGAAUGGGGGUCAUUAAGAGGUCUCAACGGUUUGUCUUGACAAAUUCAUUAAUGGCCCCAAUGAAGUGGGAUAAUUUGGUCUUGGUUUAUGUGGGAUGCCGCUUUUCUGUUCUAGUGCGGUGGGCGAAAGAAUCCAAGGACGAAGUGGGGGACAAAGAUGUUUUAGUCUGUACGAUGGAAAGGCUGGUCAAGCUAGGCUAGGCUAGGCUAGGCUAAGCUAAGUAAAACCAAAAGGAAAUAAGGAACGUCAAGCCAUUGCCAAAGAAAAAAAAUAAGGAAUGCGAAAGGAUUUCGUUGUCCUUCUAAAGUUUCAAAGUUGGCAAUUGCAAAAUCACGAUAUGGAUGAACAACGUUAAGCUCUAGGGAACUUUCCAAGUAAGGUUAUUUCGCACGUCUGCAAGAAAAUAGUAUAUUUACAUAUAUAAUAUCAUUUAUGAUUUUACACCCAUCUUUCUACGAAGCAAACACAAUGGUUUAUGGUCGCACACUAAGAGAAUGUUGUAGACUAGUAGACAGCCAUUGAAGUUGAAAAAGAACUAUAAAAAAUUUUUAGACAAAAGGGAAAACAAAAGCAAAGAGAAAGGAGAAAAGAAAAGUCUACUAAAAUCAUAAAAUCUCGUUUAGUUUUUUUGUCGACUACGAAUUAGUAAGGAUUCUUGGGUAGAUCAUUCAAUUGUAGUGAAUUUCCUUUGAAACCAAGCUCAUCGGAACGAACUUUGCUACAAAUACCACUGCGAAACUGAAACUGGGAUUUCAUUGCAUAUUGUUGUUGUUCUUUACCCUGUUCGGCUUGUUUGUUUACAGAGCAGGCCGGAUGUGUAAAGUUGCGUAAUGUUGCGUAAUGUUGCAUAGCGGAAGGAAGUAUUGUAAGCUGCAACACGUAAUGCAUUGUUUUUAGUAACGUAAUGGGCUGUGUUAUGGAAUGAAGCGAUAGAGAUGCGUUAAUCGUUUUUGUUAAAGAGGGAGAACCCAUUGGAGCAAGAAAUAAUUAUUUGACUUUUAGGUUGAAAGCUAGCCUUUCCUUUCUUUCAUUCAUUGGCUUUUAGGUACGAGUAAAAGCCGAAGAUGAGAGCUAAAUGAUGAAAUGAAUAUUUUUGCUCCUAUCCCCUUUGGCCCUGUGUUCUAUCAUCAAAUGGCGUCAUCCUGAUAUCAUGCAUUGAGAGGUGCGAUGAAGUGAUAUGGAAAAAAGGAACGAAGGUUAAGUAAAGGAACAGUAUAGGAACCGAGUCGAGAGGAAGCAAAGAAUAAGGAAGGUUACUGAUCCAUUUAAGGCUGCGUAAAUCAUUAUAAGCCAUUGGCAAGGAUACGCUAAGUUUAGCAGAGAAUAGAGAAAAAAGAAA